GGUGCUGUGGCUUUGUUGGUCAAAGCGCCUGUUUAGUAAACAGGACAUCCUGGGUUCGAAUUCCAGCAGUGUCU
rnacentral:tRNA from 1 species